rnacentral:rRNA from 1 species
GACGAACGCUGGCGGCGUGCUUAACACAUGCAAGUCGAACGGAAAGGCCCUGCUUUUGUGGGGUGCUCGAGUGGCGAACGGGUGAGUAACACGUGAGUAACCUGCCCUGGACUUUGGGAUAACUUCAGGAAACUGGGGCUAAUACCGGAUAGGAGCUCCGGCUGCAUGGUGGUGGUGGGAGAGUUUCGGCGGUUGGGGAUGGACUCGCGGCCUAUCAGCUUGUUGGUGGGGUAGUGGCUUACCAAGGCUUUGACGGGUAGCCGGCCUGAGAGGGUGACCGGCCACAUUGGGACUGAGAUACGGCCCAGACUCCUACGGGAGGCAGCAGUGGGGAAUAUUGCACAAUGGGCGGAAGCCUGAUGCAGCAACGCCGCGUGCGGGAUGACGGCCUUCGGGUUGUAAACCGCUUUCGCCUGUGACGAAGCGCGAGUGACGGUACUGGGUAAAGAAGCACCGGCUAACUACGUG